rnacentral:rRNA from 1 species
AGUGAACGCUGGCGGUAGGCCUAACACAUGCAAGUCGAACGGCAGCACAGUAAGAGCUUGCUCUUACGGGUGGCGAGUGGCGGACGGGUGAGGAAUACAUCGGAAUCUACUUUUUCGUGGGGGAUAACGUAGGGAAACUUACGCUAAUACCGCAUACGACCUACGGGUGAAAGCAGGGGAUCUUCGGACCUUGCGCGAUUGAAUGAGCCGAUGUCGGAUUAGCUAGUUGGCGGGGUAAAGGCCCACCAAGGGGACGAUCCGUAGCUGGGCUGAGAGGAUGAUCAGCCACACUGGAACUGAGACACGGUCCAGACUCCUACGGGAGGCCGCAGUGGGGAAUAUUGGACAAUGGGCGCAAGCCUGAUCCAGCCAUACCGCGUGGGUGAAGAAGGCCUUCGGGUUGUAAAGCCCUUUUGUUGGGAAAGAAAAGCAUCAGGUUAAUACCCCGCUGUUCGGACGGUACCCAAAGAAUAAGCACCGGCUAACUUCGG